rnacentral:tRNA from 1 species
UCCGCGAUCGCGGAGUGGCUAAUGCGUUGGACUAGAAAUCCAAUGGGUUUUUCCCGCUCAAGUUAAUAUCUUGCUCGUGACA